rnacentral:rRNA from 1 species
GACGAACGUUGGCGGCGUGCCUAAUACAUGCAAGUCAACUGAAAUACCGGUAGCAAUACUGGUAUGGAGGUGGCGCACGGGUGAGUAACACGUAGGUAAUCUGCCUUCAGGUCUGACAUAACCCAUCGAAAGGUGAGCUAAUAUCAGAUGAUGCAGCGGCUUGACAUCAAGACAGUUGUUAAAGCUUCGGCGCCUGAAGAUGAGCC